rnacentral:rRNA from 1 species
CCGCCCAAGAGUUCAUAUCGACGGCGGUGUUUGGCACCUCGAUGUCGGCUCAUCACAUCCUGGGGCUGAAGUAGGUCCCAAGGGUAUGGCUGUUCGCCAUUUAAAGUGGUACGCGAGCUGGGUUUAGAACGUCGUGAGACAGUUCGGUCCCUAUCUGCCGUGGGCGCUGGAGAAUUGAGGGGGGCUGCUCCUAGUACGAGAGGACCGGAGUGGACGCAUCACUGGUGUUCGGGUUGUCAUGCCAAUGGCACUGCCCGGUAGCUAAAUGCGGAAGAGAUAAGUGCUGAAAGCAUCUAAGCACGAAACUUGCCCCGAGAUGAGUUCUCCCUGAGACUUUAAGUCUCCUGAAGGAACGUUGAAGACGACGACGUUGAUAGGCCGGGUGUGUAAGCGCAGCGAUGCGUUGAGCUAACCGGUACUAAUGAACCGUGAGGCUUAACCUUACAACGCCGAAG